rnacentral:rRNA from 1 species
GCAUAGCGUACUGGCUCAGUAACACGUGGACAACCUGCCCNNNGGACNNNNAUAAUCCCGGGAAACUGGGGGUAAUUCCAGAUANNNCAGAAACACCUGGAANNNNUUCUGGCAGAAAUGCUCCGGCNNNUCAGGAUGGGUCUGCGGCCUAUCAGGGUAGUAGUGGGUGUAACGUACCUACUAGCCUACGACGGGUACGGGUUGUGAGAGCAAGAGCCCGGAGAUGGAUUCUGAGACAUGAAUCCAGGCCCUACGGGGUGCAGCAGGCGCGAAAACUUUACAAUGCGGGCAACCGCGAUAAGGGGACCUCGAGUGCUGGGUUACAAACCUGGCUGUUGGGCUGCCUAAAAAGCAGUCUAUAGCAAGGGCCGGGCAAGACCGGUGCCAGCCGCCGCGGUAACACCGGCGGCUCGAGUGGUAACCGCUGUUAUUGGGUCUAAAGGGUCUGUAGCCUGCCGGCUAAGUCUCUUGGGAAAUCUGGCAUCUCAAGUGUCAGGCUGCCAGGGGAUACUGGCCGGCUUGGGACCGGGAGAGGUGAGAGGUACCUCAGGGGUAGGGGUGAAAUCUUGUAAUCCUUGAGGGACCACCAGUGGCGAAGGCGUCUCACCAGAAC